rnacentral:lncRNA from 1 species
ACCAUAAGUUUCCUGAGGCCACCCCAGACCUGCAGAAUUGGAUACUGGUUGUAGGAGAGCUGCCCAGUGUUUCUUCUCCUCCCACACACCCAGUUUUAAUGGAGUACUUAGAACCCUGCCGUGCCCACCUGCUGCUGCUUGGGUCCUGUGCACAAGCUGUUCCCGCUGCCUCCAAUACUCAUCCCCUCGACUUCUAUGGAGCUGACUCUUCACCUUCCAGCCUUGGCUCAAAUGUCACCUUCACAGUAAAGGCUACCCAUGGCUGGGUGUGUGGUUGUGCAGGAUCUGCCCCUUCCAAAGGGCCAGAAUGGAAAAAUGAACUCACUUCUGUUCUCUACUACACUAAAACAAUGCUUAGCACAUAACCAGGACCUGGCACCUAUUUGUUAAAUGAAUGAAUGAAUGAAUGACUAAAUAAAUGAAAAAAAAAAAAAAAAA